rnacentral:rRNA from 1 species
UACGUAGGGAGCAAGCGUUGUUCGGAUUUACUGGGCAUAAAGGGCGCGUAGGCGGCAAAUUAAGUCAGCUGUGAAAUCUCCGAGCUUAACUCGGAACUGUCAGCUGAUACUGAUCUGCUAGAGUGCGGAAGGGGCAAUCGGAAUUCUUGGUGUAGCGGUGAAAUGCGUAGAUAUCAAGAGGAACACCUGAGGUGAAGACGGGUUGCUGGGCCGACACUGACGCUGAGUGCGCGAAAGCCAGGGGAGCAAACGGG